CUUUUAUAACACAAUGCUUUAAAACACAACAUGGAAAUAAGGCUAGUUGCAUCACCAUUAACCUUCUUCACACCUAAAUAGCUGCAGUCACCCCUCACUGUCCUAUUUUUGGUCUGCCAACUUGAAAAACAUGGCAGCAGACAUCGAAUUCCUCCAAAGUUAUUGAACAAAAGGGGUUUCAGAUGGAAAAAAAAUCAACUUUAUCUGAAAUAUGAGAAUUUAUUAAUGGAGUAUGGGAGAUUUAGAGGGAUGACAUCUCAAAUCUAGACCCUCCAUUGCAGCUCUGAGCACAUUUUCAAUCAAGCAGCAUUUGUACGCUCACACAGGUUCUGCUCACAUCUGGCCGAUGAUGUUUGAACCUUUGUCCAGCAAAAGGAGGGGACUGAAACACGAGAAGCGAGGCGCAGUAAUCGAAGAGGUUGUGGAUGUUGAUACUGUAGUACUACAUGUCUGCUCUGUGUAGUCUGAUGAGUCUGUACAUGUUUGCAGGAAGAGCAGAUUCCUGCACCAUUGAUGAUGUAGCAAUAAUACUGAGGCUGCAUGACUCAACCAUUGAAUUAACUCCAGAACUCAUGUGUGAAACUACAAAAAUGGCGUCUGGUGGGUAUUACUGAUCACGGCUCAUAUGCUGCCUUCACAUGGGGUUGUGGUCUUUCCUUCAUGCCUUUACAUUUCAUACAAAUGGUUAGCCUUGGUGGCUUCUAGACAUCAAUGGUUGCGUCCAUGUUGUUCACGACUUUCCACAAGUUCCAUUUGAAGGCAGCAUGGGUUGUGUUCACCUGCCAGUGACAGUGUUCUUCUCGGCAUUUGAGUGUAUACACGUGCUUCUUCUUCUUAACGCAGGGAAACAUCUGCUCUUUAAACUCUGCUUUUUGUAUUCUUGAAAUGCUGUCUUUUGACAAAACUCGACAGAAAUGAAGCUCAGCACAGGACCAAACUAACUGGAUUAGAAAAUACCUCCUCACUGUUCUUCUGGUGGACAAAAAAUCUACAACUACAGCUUUUUCUAACAAGCCGUGAUGGUAACAUAUUUGAAACGAUGCUCCUUAAUCCCCCCCCCCGGUGGUUUUUGAGAUCAAUGGUUUUCACUGGAUAGGAAUGAUGCUGUUUAAAAGACCAAAAAAGUUUGUAUUUAGUUCAGCUGAUUUGAUCUCAGCUGACCACUGAACAAAGCAGGCGUGAGGCUAACAGGCACCAUGAGGAAGCUUUUGAAUUAAAGACAUUUUGAAUGUUUAUUCUGCCCUUUUGGAGGCAGAUAGGUGGAACCACAGCAGCACAAGAACCCGAUGUGGACGUUGUCAUCGCAGAUUAUUCAUGUUCAUAUGAGCCAACAGGAACUUCCUUCACCUUCUAGUAGCUUAGUAGAGACAUUGUCGUCUAUUUUGAUCUUUGAUAAACAGAAACUGAUCAUGAUAAUGUUGGAAACAUCUUGUGGUGGUGUGAAUAACUGCAUUUAAGAUGAUGCGAGAUGUAAAAACAUACAAAAUGGAGCUUAAACCAAGUAGUUUUGGUGGUGUAACUUAAUUAAUUAGCUUUGGUACCGAAACUUAACCAUAAAGUUUUGGUGCCAAAUGUGCACCAAUGCUCAAUCAAGUACCAUAGAUUUGGUGCCUAAACUUAAUCGAAAGUAAACACUGAGUGAAAAACCAUUCAUGAAAAUGAAAGUCAGAAUGAGACUUGAGUGAAAAAUAAACUAUAAAAUGCACCAAGAUGGGAUUUAAACUCACAUCUCUUGGGGAAACUGACUUCACAAACCCAAUCGACAUCUAAAUGAAGACUUUUGUUCCUCUUUAGUAGUGUAAAGUUGCUGCUUCUUCACCAUUAAAUGUGGUGAUGGAGGUCCAACCAGGAGGUGAAGGAAGCUCCUAUAAAAGCUGUCUGUGAUGUUAUCGACCAUUUAAUGGGCUGAAAACGUGAAACAUGAGGCUGAAUGUUGUAACAGCUCUCCAGCUGAUCGACCCAGCUGGUGGCUUCAGCGGUGUUUCCUCAUGUAUUCAGUCGCUCUGCUGAAGUGCUGCUGUAUUUUCUGAACCAUCCUUUUGUAAUAACCUCUUUCAUAAAUUCCCUCCACUCUCCUGUUGCUGCUGCUCUGCCGGAGGCUCCAGGUGAGGAGAGACUGAGCUGAUGCACUGCCGUAGGAGGAAGAUGACCUGAUAACAUUUUCCAUGCGAGUGUUUUUUAUUCUGAGACUGGGGGGGCUUCUAAAAGUAGAAAACACAUAAUGGAGGGAGAGAGCAAAGGUUGAAGGAUGGGAGAAGGAGAAGGGGCUCGUAUCGGAGUGGGUUUUUGUUGUUGGUUGGGUAGGAAACACCUGCAGAGCUUCGUAAUUGGCUGUACGCAGUCGACACUUUGGCAGCACCUGCUGUUUCGAUCUAUUAAUAACUCCGACUCACCGGAGGCCUUUGGAUGUGUGUUCAUGUCUGUCACGAUACCACGGUGCCCUGAUUCCUGACCCGACCACGCAGCUCCGGAGGAUCUCCACCGCCCCCGAGAGGCUGGUAUCUGAACAUAGCAUCAUAGGAGCUCUGCAUACUGCAGGAAGGAGGAACUCUACAUUAAUGAUGCAGCAGUAAAACAAACCACAGUAUUAGUUUUCUGUGUUCCGGUGCCUGUUCACAGAAGACAUACAACUGGGUCAGAGAGCAAAUACCUGAUGGGAUUUAUUUUACCUACGAAGAUGGAGGUCAAUGGGUUUACCUUGGAAACGAGUCCGGUUUCAGUAAUUAGGUCCAUACAGCUCAGAAUAAUUCAUCAGGUAGAUGCUGUAUUGACAGUAGAUACAACACCUGAGCUGCUCAUCUGAUCCAAAACAACCAUAUCUAUGUUUUUCACUGACUUGCUUCAAAUUAUUUACCUGCAACAGCGAAUCACACCAUAGUGUUAGUGGGUUGAUUGUGCUUUUAUAUCUUCCAGGCAGCUACUGCUUUCAGUUUCACAUCGGUGUGAUGUGAAAGUCAGCUCGCAAAGACCAAUUCAUCCUGCUUGGGUUUAAUUUUGUCAGCUAUGUAAUUUUUUUCCAUAGGUGCAAAAACACAGAUGAAUUUGCAGCUAUGUUCUGGUUUGGUUCUUUCCUGACAUCUGUUUUACUUCUGUACAUUUGUGCUCAUCUGGGUUUUAAAUUCAAAACUCUGCAAUCACCAGCUCUCUAAAAGUGGAUAUUGGAGCUUCAAUUUCCCCCAAAAAGUGCAGAUUUUUGUGAAACUGAUUCAUUGUGCGCAAUGAUGAUGAAAGCUUCAAGAGACAAGUCGCAUUCGUGAAGGUUUGCAGUAAACAAAUUAAACUUUUAGAAACAGUGGUACGAUCCCUCAGCCUCUCUCCUUCGUGUGUUGCUGCUUUCACUUCUUCAACACACCCGACCAGAUGAUAUGUUCAUGUUGCAGUAUUGAAAAACGAGUGUUUACCUCUGCAGAAGGCACUGCGGUCAGCCACUCGCUACAGUGCUUUACUACGACGUUCAGUAUCUCAUUUGUUCCUCGCUGCUGCACCCUGAUCCCCGACAGUGUGGCCUGCUUCCCUUUAAUAACCAAGAAGUGAAACAACUCGUUCAUCUUAAAGGAGAAUCUGGUUUAUAUCAAUUAUUGUCUGUAUUGUGUCUGUGAGUCAUGCUAAGGCUGCAAUCGCCAACUCAACAGGCAGCCUAUAUCAGUGCAGAAAAUGCAAGUUCCCUGUCAUUUUCAAAACAGAUUUUUACAUGAGUCACUUUUUGUUUUCAGUCAGACUGAAAGAAAACACAAAAAUUAGGCAUAGGAAAUGGACAGUGUGCUAACUCCAGUAUGGAUCUAGGUGAGCGAAUCGCCUGCCUGCUUAUCCACCAGUUUGUUUCCAUGUGUUUUGGUGCUGCAGAAGUUAAACCAAACCAGAUAUCCAGCUGAUUAAACAAUGACUGAGAGUAUGGAGAGCUGAGCUUCUAAUUCUUUUCUUCCAGUUGAUGUUGUGGAGGUGAAACGUCAUCUUCAGGAUGUUAGUCAAAGCUGCAGAUUGACUAGUUGUAGUUCUACAGCUGGGAUUCCUCUCAUCCGUAGACAAAUGGAGAUUUUUCCCAAAUCUUCCAUCAACAGGUCCCACUCUUUGCAGCAACAGUUUUCCUGCCCAGCACAUGACUUGGACAUUGUUGUUGCAGAUUAUUUCAAUAGGAACCUUACAUACCUUCUAGUAGCUCAGUCGGAUGCAUUAACUUCUAUUUUGAUAAUUCAGAAACAGAAAACUAACCAUGAUAACUUCUUGCAGUUGUGUGAAUAAGUUCAUGUAAAACAGCCGAUGGAGUCGUCACCAUGGUAACAUCCAAAAUGGAGCUUUGUAACAUGUAGUAAACACAACAAACGGGUAUUUUUAAACCCCAACUAUGAUCCUUUUUAAAACUUGAUCAAACAGUUUUGGUUAUUAACCUUAAACGAAUAAUUUUGGCACCUAAACUUAGCAAAGUAGUUUGCACAUUUGUAUUUAGUUGUAGUUUUGUUGCCUAAAACACAACAAAACAGCAAGAAAAAAGCAGUGAAUGAAGAAAAGCAAGUAAAAACAAAAGUCAAAAUAAGAUUUGAGUUAAAAAAUGAGAAGAAAAGUCAAAAAUUAAGGUUAAAAACAGGACUUUAAUCCAUGUCUUCUGAGUAAAAUUCAACUCCUCCAACCUAUAAAUGUGAAUCUUUUGUGAAUGCAAAGCUGUAGCUCCACCACCAUUGAAUGUGGUGAUAACCUCCUACUGAGCUACUAGAAGGUGGAGGAUGUUCGACUGGACCAUAUAUUUGGGAAUGAGGCAAUUAAUCAGCCAACAGGUUCCAGAGGUUUGGUGUCUUUCAGGAAGUCUGGUUGUCUUUCUGCCUCCAUCCUUUGAGUCUUCCUUUGAUUCAUUUCCUCUUUAGUGGACCUGCAGCCGUCUUCGUAAUGAUCCAUAUGAUGUUCCACCAUUACAUUUACCUGCGGAAACAAACCAGUAGAUCAAUAUGUUGUGGAUCUGGCUUGACAACAACUAUCCUUAAUGUAGAACCUUAAAGUAGUUAGCAAAAUGGCAGUUUUGGGCUGUUCAUUUCUGUUUAACUUCAGUCAGACUGCUAACAAAAGAAAUGAUUCAUGUAAAAAUGAGGUUUCUGGAAAAGCUGAAGGGAUCUCCACAACAUAAGUGGAGUGUGCAAAGUUAGCAUGACCCAUGGAGCCACAAUAGACACAUUAAUGCUAAAUACAUCAGGCUGUGGUUCUUCUUAAAGCUGUGAUAGUGACGGACAGCAGCAGACUGAUAGAUGCUGAAGAUCAGGUGCUGCAGUGAAUCUGUUACCCACAUGUCUUAACCCAGAGCUGCUCUGUGUGCUCUUCAGUGUGUGAUGCUACCUAACUUUGCAGGCCGCUGGUCAAAUAGCGCUUUAACAUUCGUUUGAGUAAUCGGAGAGUUGUUUGUACCUGCCAUAGUGAUGUGGACAAACUUGUGUAAAUCACUUGUUAUUUUAGGUUGUGUGUUGCCGUGUCUCCACCGCUGACCUUUAAUCCAGCGUUGUUCCCCCAAAACGUCGACUGUAUGUUUUUGUAAAACCGAAAAAAAGGAAGAAAAAUAUUUAUUGAAGUGUGUUUUACUUAAAAAACUCUAAAUAAAUAUAAUUAACUAAAUGGACCUUGCUUUUAUUUUGAAAAGCUACUGUGUUUUCUAUUUGACAAGUAAUCGAAUAUAACAAGAGUAUGUAUCCCAGACUAAAUAAAGUUAUCUUUUCCUGAC
ensembl:lncRNA